GGUACAUAGAGGGUGAGAAUCCCGUGCAUGAUCAGACCAAAAUACUUAAUAUUCGUUUUCUAAAGAGUCGAAGUUGUUUUGGAAAUCAGCUCAAAAUGGGUGGUAGACUUCACCUAAGGCUAAAUAUCAGCGAGAGACCGAUAGCGAACAAGUACUGUGAAGGAAAGAUGAAAAGAACUUUGAAAAGAGAGUUAAAUAGUACGUGAAAUUGUUGAAAGGGAAACGAUUGAAGUCAGUCAUGCUAGCGAAAAAUCAGUUUGACGGGUUUUGUAGUUCAGGAGUAGAGGCAGGGUCAAACCGUUUCUCUUUUGAACUUGGGAUUUGUUAGAUGUACUUUUUCUUUGGCAGGUUAGCGUCGAUUU
rnacentral:rRNA from 1 species